rnacentral:rRNA from 1 species
GGAAUUAUUGGGCGUAAGGGCUCGCAGGCGGUUUCUUAAGUCUGAUGUGAAAGCCCCCGGCUCAACCGGGGAGGGUCAUUGGAAACUGGGAAACUUGAGUGCAGAAGAGGAGAGUGGAAUUCCACGUGUAGCGGUGAAAUGCGUAGAGAUGUGGAGGAACACCAGUGGCGAAGGCGACUCUCUGGUCUGUAACUGACGCUGAGGAGCGAAAGCGUGGGGAGCGAACAGGAUUAGAUACCCUGGUAGUCCACGCCGUAAACGAUGAGUGCUAAGUGUUAGGGGGUUUCCGCCCCUUAGUGCUGCAGCUAACGCAUUAAGCACUCCGCCUGGGGAGUACGGUCGCAAGACUGAAACUCAAAGGAAUUGACGGGGGCCCGCACAAGCGGUGGAGCAUGUGGUUUAAUUCGAAGCAACGCGAAGAACCUUACCAUGUCUUGACAUCCUCUGA